rnacentral:piRNA from 1 species
UGCCCAGUUAAGGUUAGGUUGAUGAAUAA